rnacentral:rRNA from 1 species
CCUACGGGUGGCAGCAGUGGGGAAUAUUGGACAAUGGGCGAAAGCCUGAUCCAGCCAUGCCGCGUGUGUGAAGAAGGCCUUCGGGUUGUAAAGCACUUUCAGUGGGGAAGAAAGCCUUGGGGCUAAUACCCUCGAGGAAGGACAUCACCCACAGAAGAAGCACCGGCUAACUCCGUGCCAGCAGCCGCGGUAAUACGGAGGGUGCGAGCGUUAAUCGGAAUUACUGGGCGUAAAGCGCGCGUAGGCGGUCUGAUAAGCCGGUUGUGAAAGCCCCGGGCUCAACCUGGGAACGGCAUCCGGAACUGUCAGGCUAGAGUGCAGGAGAGGAAGGUAGAAUUCCCGGUGUAGCGGUGAAAUGCGUAGAGAUCGGGAGGAUUAUCAGUGGCGAAGGCGGCCUUCUGGACCGACACUGACGCUGAGGUGCGAAAGCGUGGGUAGCAAACAGGAUUAGAUACCCGAGUAGUC